rnacentral:lncRNA from 1 species
GCUGAUUUCUUCUUUCUUCUUCAUAAACUUUGGAUGCUCCAAACUAGAAGAAGACUUAGAGGAGAAAGAGAGGAAGAGGGAGAGCUCUGAAGAAAAUUGAGAACCAGCAAAGGAACCAAUGAUGGGGCAUCCAAGAGUGGAGCCCCCUUUAUAUAGGCUAGUGCUAGGGUUUUGAUCCAAGGGGAGGGAGCCAUAGAGUCCAUACCAAAACCAUCUUUUGGGC